rnacentral:rRNA from 1 species
CGAUGUCGGCUCAUCACAUCCUGGGGCUGAAGCAGGUCCCAAGGGUUCGGCUGUUCGCCGAUUAAAGUGUUACGCGAGCUGGGUUCAGAACGUCGUGAGACAGUUCGGUCCUUAUCCUCCGCAGGCGUAGGAUGAUUGACGGGAGCGCUCCUUAGUACGAGAGGACCGGGAGCGGGUGGCCUCUGGUGUUCCGGUUGUCCGGCCAACGGGCAUUGCCGGGUAGCCACGCCACGAAGGGAUAAGCGCUGAAAGCAUCUAAGCGCCAAGCCCCCCCGAAGACGAGUCAUCCCAGUGCGCAAGCACUCUCAAGGCCCCCGGAAGACGACCGGGUUGACAGGCUGGAGGCGCAAGACCCGCGAGGGUUUUACCUGACCAGUUCUGAUAGGCCGUGAGGCUUGGCCGCCUUU